rnacentral:rRNA from 1 species
GACAGAGGAUGCAAGCGUUAUCCGGAAUGAUUGGGCGUAAAGCGUCUGUAGGUGGCUUUUUAAGCCUGCCGUCAAAUCCCAGGGCUUAACCCUGGACAGGCGGUGGAAACUACCAAGCUGGAGUACGGUAGGGGUCGAGGGAACUUCCGGUGGAGCGGUGAAAUGCGUAGAUAUCGGAAGGAACGCCGGUGGCGAAAGCGCUCGACUGGACCUCUUCUGACGCUGAGGCGCGAAAGCCAGGGGAGCAAACGGG